rnacentral:rRNA from 1 species
CAGGGAAUCUUGCGCAAUGGGCGAAAGCCUGACGCAGCGACACCGCGUGGGGGAUGAAGGCUCUAGGGUUGUAAACCCCUUUUCGUGGGGAAGAGAGAGGACUGUACCCACGGAAUAAGCCUCGGCUAACUACGUGCCAGCAGCCGCGGUAAUACGUAGGAGGCGAGCGUUGUCCGGAUUUACUGGGCGUAAAGGGUGAGUAGGCGGCCGAACAAGUCUCGGGUGAAAUCUCCCGGCUCAACUGGGAGGGGUCCCGAGAUACUGUUUGGCUAGAGGGGAGCAGAGGAGGGUGGAAUUCCCGGAGGAGUGGUGAAAUGCGUAGAUAUCGGGAGGAACACCAGUGGCGAAGGCGGCCCUCUGGGCUUCCCCUGACGCUGAGUCACGAAAGCGUGGGGAGCAAACCGG